UUAAACAGUUCAGUUUUUGGCUCUGGAACUAUCAAAUUACCUUGAGUAACACCCCUUAAAGCAUAAGGAUUAUUUACAGAUAUAAGUUGAAACUUUUGAAUUAGGUACUGUGGUGCUUCUUUCCGCAUACAUUUAAAUAGCAAUAAAUAUUUGUGGUAUUUGAUUCUGUUUUCUACUGUCAUCCAUCCAAGUUCUUUAAAUAAGGGGGCUGAUGAGGAUAAUGGGUCUGCAUCAAGAAUUAAUCUUGAUGCUCUUUUUUGAAGUUUUAAUAUUCUUACUAUCCCUUCAUUUUUACAUUCUCCCCAAAUAAUACAGCAGUAAUCGAUGAGAGGCAGAAUAUACCCAUUAUAAUAUGCUUUCCUGGCAUUAAUAUCUAAAAAUUUCUUUAAUUUAGAAAGAAGGUAUAUUCUUGAUGAAAUGCUAGCAC
rnacentral:lncRNA from 1 species